rnacentral:lncRNA from 1 species
CAAGCGCCAGUUUUCAAUAAUCUUGAUCAAACUUUUCUUCAUUCAGUAUCUAUCAGUUCUUUGUGCUGCCCGGAACUUCGAUUUCUUCUACUUUGUCCUGCAGGUAAGUGAUUCAUUAUAUACAUGUAUGUAGUUCUUUGAAUUUGUGUAUGUAGUUCUUUCAAUCUAUGCUAUGCGUAUUUUAUGUAAUGGGUUAUGAAAUGAAAUGUAGUGGCCAGGAUCAUACUGUGAUACAGCGAAGAGUUGCUGCUAUCCAACGACUGGAAAGCCAGCAGCAGAUUUCGGGAUUCAUGGACUCUGGCCUAAUUACAACGACGGCUCCUAUCCAUCCAACUGUGACCCCAAUGCCCCUUUCGAUCAAUCCCAGGUCCCUUCACUCUCUAACCUCCCCUUUUUAUUGUUAUCAUCACACUAGCUACCUGUUACCUGUGUAGUAGAUUCCGUUAACCAAUUUAUAUUUGUUAUAUUUUGUUUUUUUUUU